GGGACACAAUGCAGAUAGCCAGGUUAGCCAAUGUGCUGGAUCACUGGUUGGGCCGGCCAAUUUAGGUAGUAUGUACAUGAAUGUAUAGUUAAAGUGACUGUGCAUAUAUGAUGAACAGAGAGUAACAGCAGCAUAAAAUAGGGAUUGGGGGGGGCACACAAUGCAAAUAGUCCGGGUAGCCGUUUGAUUACCUGUUCAGGAGUCUUAUGGCUUGGAGGUAAAAACUGUUGAGAAGCCUUUUUGUCCUAGACUUGGCACUCCGGUACCGCUUGCCAUGCGGUAGUAGAGAGAACAGUCUAUGACUGGGGUGGCUGGGGUCUUUGACAAUUUCUAGGACCUUCCUCUGACACCACCUGGUGUAGAGGUCCUGGAUGGCAGGCAGCUUUGCUCCAGUGAUGUACUGGGCUGUACGCACUACCCUCUGAAGUGCCUUGUGGUUGGAGGCCAAGCAAUUGCCGUACCAGGCAGUGAUGCAACCAAUGCUCUCAAUGUUGCAGCUGUAGAACCUUUUGAGGAUCUCAGGACCUAUGCCACAUCUUUUUAGUUUCCUGAGGGGGGAGUGGCUUUGUCGUGCCCUCUUCACGACUGUCUUGGUGUGGUUGGACUUAUUUACAUAAGACCCACCACCACAGCCUGAUGGGAUAGCUCCGACCCAGCCUGGUCCUCCAAGCACAGCCAUACACAGCCGGGGAGCAGAAACAUGAGACCACACCUUGACCCCAGUCACCUUAUGAAUACACACAGUACAUAUUUUGGAUCCACAGUAAGAAACAGUCAAGGAAUCUAAUCUUCACAUUGGACAGGUCCUCAUUUUGAUGUCAUUUAACCAUUGUUACACACACUUGCUGUAUGCUUUAUUGACCAGUGCUGAAGAGUAUACGCAAAUCAUUGUGUUUUAUAUGAAACUAUC